UUGCAUCAUGAUUUACAUUUGAGUGAGUGGCGAACUGGUGAGUAACACGUGGGAAACCUGCCCAGAAGCGGGGGAUAACACCUGGAAACAGAUGCUAAUACCGCAUAACAACUUGGACCGCAUGGUCCGAGCUUGAAAGAUGGCUUCGGCUAUCACUUUUGGAUGGUCCCGCGGCGUAUUAGCUAGAUGGUGGGGUAACGGCUCACCAUGGCAAUGAUACGUAGCCGACCUGAGAGGGUAAUCGGCCACAUUGGGACUGAGACACGGCCCAAACUCCUACGGGAGGCAGCAGUAGGGAAUCUUCCACAAUGGACGAAAGUCUGAUGGAGCAACGCCGCGUGAGUGAAGAAGGGUUUCGGCUCGUAAAACUCUGUUGUUAAAGAAGAACAUAUCUGAGAGUAACUGUUCAGGUAUUGACGGUAUUUAACCAGAAAGCCACGGCUAACUACGUGCCAGCAGCCGCGGUAAUACGUAGGUGGCAAGCGUUGUCCGGAUUUAUUGGGCGUAAAGCGAGCGCAGGCGGUUUUUUAAGUCUGAUGUGAAAGCCUUCGGCUCAACCGAAGAAGUGCAUCGGAAACUGGGAAACUUGAGUGCAGAAGAGGACAGUGGAACUCCAUGUGUAGCGGUGAAAUGCGUAGAUAUAUGGAAGAACACCAGUGGCGAAGGCGGCUGUCUGGUCUGUAACUGACGCUGAGGCUCGAAAGUAUGGGUAGCAAACAGGAUUAGAUACCCUGGUAGUCCAUACCGUAAACGAUGAAUGCUAAGUGUUGGAGGGUUUCCGCCCUUCAGUGCUGCAGCUAACGCAUUAAGCAUUCCGCCUGGGGAGUACGGCCGCAAGGCUGAAACUCAAAGGAAUUGACGGGGGCCCGCACAAGCGGUGGAGCAUGUGGUUUAAUUCGAAGCUACGCGAAGAACCUUACCAGGUCUUGACAUACUAUGCAAAUCUAAGAGAUUAGACGUUCCCUUCGGGGACAUGGAUACAGGUGGUGCAUGGUUGUCGUCAGCUCGUGUCGUGAGAUGUUGGGUUAAGUCCCGCAACGAGCGCAACCCUUAUUAUCAGUUGCCAGCAUUAAGUUGGGCACUCUGGUGAGACUGCCGGUGACAAACCGGAGGAAGGUGGGGAUGACGUCAAAUCAUCAUGCCCCUUAUGACCUGGGCUACACACGUGCUACAAUGGAUGGUACAACGAGUUGCGAACUCGCGAGAGUAAGCUAAUCUCUUAAAGCCAUUCUCAGUUCGGAUUGUAGGCUGCAACUCGCCUACAUGAAGUCGGAAUCGCUAGUAAUCGCGGAUCAGCAUGCCGCGGUGAAUACGUUCCCGGGCCUUGUACACACCGCCCGUCACACCAUGAGAGUUUGUAACACCCAAAGUC
rnacentral:rRNA from 2 species